rnacentral:rRNA from 1 species
UACGAAGGUCCCAAGCGUUAUCCGGAUUUAUUGGGUUUAAAGGGUGCGUAGGCGGGUUAUUAAGUCAGUGGUGAAAGCUCUCAGCCUAACUGAGAAAUUGCCAUUGAUACUGAUGAUCUUGAGUACAUUUGAAGUGGGCGGAAUGUGUCAUGUAGUGGUGAAAUACUUAGAUAUGACACAGAACACCGAUUGCGUAGGCAGCUCGCUAAACUGUAACUGACGCUGAGGCACGAAAGCGUGGGGAGCAAACAGG